UUGUUGCUGUUAAGAUACAUCCACAUUCAAUCACACAAAAGUUUGUUAUUGAAAACGGCCCGAGGGCCAACAGUUCACAGAGGUGUCGGGAUUAUGAAUCAGGCCAGUGGCCAAUCACUAAUGAUCCUUCCGCAGGUUCACCUACGGAAA
rnacentral:misc_RNA from 1 species